rnacentral:rRNA from 1 species
GAACGCUGGCGGCGUGCCUAAUACAUGCAAGUCGAGCGAACAGACGAGGAGCUUGCUCCUCUGACGUUAGCGGCGGACGGGUGAGUAACACGUGGAUAACCUACCUAUAAGACUGGGAUAACUUCGGGAAACCGGAGCUAAUACCGGAUAAUAUAUUGAACCGCAUGGUUCAAUAGUGAAAGACGGUUUUGCUGUCACUUAUAGAUGGAUCCGCGCCGCAUUAGCUAGUUGGUAAGGUAACGGCUUACCAAGGCAACGAUGCGUAGCCGACCUGAGAGGGUGAUCGGCCACACUGGAACUGAGGCACGGUCCAGACUCCUACGGGAGGCAGCAGUAGGGAAUCUUCCGCAAUGGGCGAAAGCCUGACGGAGCAACGCCGCGUGAGUGAUGAAGGUCUUCGGAUCGUAAAACUCUGUUAUUAGGGAAGAACAAAUGUGUAAGUAACUAUGCACGUCUUGACGGUACCUAAUCAGAAAGCCACGGCUAACUACGUG